GUGAAAAUAAAGAAAAACCCUUGAAUGAGUGGGUGUGUCAACUUUUGAUUGAUACUGUAUUUAUAAAAAAUGUAUGAUACACGAGACAUCUGUCUGAUUCACGC